CCUGGGUGUGUGGGUCUCCCUCUACGAAAGUGCCUCUUCGGGGUCUUUCAUUUGGGGGCUCGUCCGGGAUCGAGACCCGCCCAGGGACCACCGACCCACGUCUGGGAGGUAAAAGACACCCCAAGGGCCCCCCUUCCUUUCCCCCUCUAACCGCCCGCCGCCGCCCCCGCCAGAGGCAGAAGCGGCCGCCGCCGCCUAGCUCCCCUUAACCUCGGAGGAGAAACAGCUGCCCAAUGAAAUUGAUGCAGCUUGCCCUCUUAAAAGACCUGAAUGGGAUUUUACCACUGAAGCAGGAAUACUUAAACCGCCAUCUUGACUAAAGAUGACCGCAUGGAAAUUAGAGGUACCAUCUUAGAAACAAGUUUUUCAAUUGAGAUUUACAAUGUUAAUGCUUCUAUAUAUUACAGAAAGACCUUAAGGGAAUUUAA
rnacentral:lncRNA from 1 species